rnacentral:rRNA from 1 species
CACGUAGUUAGCCGGGGCUUCUUAGUCAGGUACUGUCACUUUCUUCCCUGCUGAUAGAGCUUUACAUACCGAGAUACUUCAUCGCUCACGCGGCGUUGCUGCAUCAGGGUUUCCCCCAUUGUGCAAUAUUCCCCACUGCUGCCUCCCGUAGGAGUCUGGGCCGUGUCUCAGUCCCAAUGUGGCCGAUCACCCUCUCAGGUCGGCUACGCAUCGUCGCCUUGGUGAGCCGUUACCUCACCAACUAGCUAAUGCGCCGCGGGCCCAUCUCAUAGCGGAUUGCUCCUUUAAUUGCUACUUCAUGCGAAGCUACAAUCUUAUGUGGUAUUAAUCUCCCUUUCGGAAGGCUAUUCCCCCUCUAUGAGGCAGGUUGCCCACGUGUUACUCACCCGUCCGCCGCUAGCUUUGUUCCGAAGAACUCCACUCGCUCGACUUGCAUGUGUUAGGCACGCCGCCAGCGUUGUCCUGAGCCAGGAUCAAACUCUACG